UAAUACGAAGGGGGCUAGCGUUGCUCGGAAUUACUGGGCGUAAAGGGCGCGUAGGCGGCUCUGUUAGUCAGGCGUGAAAUUCCUGGGCUCAACCUGGGGACUGCGCUUGAUACGGCAGGGCUAGAGUGUGGAAGAGGGUCGUGGAAUUCCCAGUGUAGAGGUGAAAUUCGUAGAUAUUGGGAAGAACACCGGUGGCGAAGGCGGCGACCUGGUCCAUUACUGACGCUGAGGCGCGACAGCGUGGGGAGCAAACAGGAUUAGAUACCCUGGUAGUCCACGCCGUAAACGAUGUGCGCUGGAUGUUGGGGCUCCUAGAGCCUCAGUGUCGUAGCUAACGCGGUAAGCGCACCGCCUGGGGAGUACGGCCGCAAGGUUG
rnacentral:rRNA from 1 species